rnacentral:sRNA from 1 species
GGGGUCCUUCCAUGUGCUGAUAUUCCACCCCACACCAUAACGCUACCUCCACCAAAUUGUCGACAUUGCACAACACAAGCGUCCUGGUAACGCUCCCCAACGCGACGAUACACCCUACCACGGCCGUCACUGCUAUCCAAAUGAAAUCUGGAUUCAUCAGUGAACAGAAUAUUGGCCCAGUCCUGUAUUCUGAAUCGCAGAUGUCGUGUGCACCACGCUAGUUUGGCGAUACAAUGACAUUGAAGCAGUACUGGGCGCACCGCUGGACGUCUUGGUCUGUUGUUUUGCUCACGCAGACGAUUACGCACAGUUCUUGGACUAAUAGGUCGAAGCCCUGCAAUGCUACGGGCAGUCAAACUUGCUGUCUGGAAAUGAUUUCUCAGAUGCACAAGUCUAAUGUGGUUGUCCUGUUGACGUGACGUCACAGGAGGUCGCCCAGACCGCGGUCGAUCCUGAGUGUUGCCAGAUCAUUGAAAAUGUCUUCAUAAUGACUGGAUGGUGUUCCGAUGAACUCCAAAGUGUGUUGCUACAGUAUUUUGUGCCAUUCCAGCUUGCAGCAUCACAACAGCACAGUUACAUUGGUUUCCGUUGAGUUGUGGCAUGACAUAGGGGUAAAUUUUGUUGAAACUAAAGUGAUUUCCUUAACAAAAAAAGUUUAAACAAAUCCUUUACAGUUCUUUUUCCAAACAGAAUUGGCCCGUAAAACUCAUGCGUACAAAUUCUUCAAUAAACAACAGGUGCUCACUUACCAUGAAAAAGUCCGUGCACCCGGGCGGUUACCAUCCGAUAUUGUCAAAAACAUUACCAUUAUCGAUUGUUUAAAUUUUAUAAAAACAAACAAUAGAUAUAGAAAAAUUAUACUAAAUUUUAUAAUGCAUAGUUUCUUUUUUCCGCUAGUAUAUAUGCCCCUUAUUUAUUGGUUGUCUCUAGAGGUAGUUAACCUUGUUGACAGAGAUCCAAGCUGCCAAAUACAUUUUACUUGAUCAAAACCAAUUGGAAAUUCCUUUUUGAGAUUUCACUUUCCAGAUCUUUUUAGAAUAUAAAACUGAUAACUGUUGCUUGUAAAAUGUCUUCAUACAAACAUGAUUGUAAGGGACCUUUUGAUUCUUGUAAAUUGUCUGUUAAAGAUUUUUUUUACAAUUUUGCAUGUGAUGGGGAAAAGAAAACUGUUCAUGGAUAAAAAUUUCAUUAUAUUUUGUUAUACUGUUUUUAUGAAAGCCUUAUUGUUAUAAUUAAAAGUCUACAAUG